rnacentral:rRNA from 1 species
AUACGGAGGAUCCGAGCGUUAUCCGGAUUUAUUGGGUUUAAAGGGUGCGCAGGCGGCCAUUUAAGUCAGCGGUUAAAUCGUGGGGCUCAACCCCAUUCUGCCGUUGAUACUGGGUGGCUUGAUUGCGGUCGAGGUUGGCGGAAUUCGUUGUGUAGCGGUGAAAUGCAUAGAUAUGACGAAGAACACCGAUUGCGUAGGCAGCUGACCAGACCGCAAAUGACGCUCAUGCACGAAAGUGCGGGGAUCGAACAGGAUUAGAUACCCUGGUAGUCCGCACAGUAAACGAUGAAUACUUGUUUUCGGCGAUAUAAUUUCGGAGGCAAAGCGAAAACGAUAAGUAUUCCACCUGGGGAGUACGCCGGCAACGGUGAAACUCAAAUGAAUUUACGGGG